CACGCUGUAAACGAUGUGCACUAGAUGUAGGGGGUGUUGAUCCCCUCUGUGUCGCAGCUAACGCAUUAAGUGCACCGCCUGGGGAGUACGGUCGCAAGAUUAAAACUCAAAGGAAUUGAC
rnacentral:rRNA from 1 species